rnacentral:rRNA from 1 species
GAGUUUGAUCUUGGCUCAGGACGAACGCUGGCGGCGUGCUUAACACAUGCAAGUCGAACGGAAAGGCCCUGCUUUUGUGGGGUGCUCGAGUGGCGAACGGGUGAGUAACACGUGAGUAACCUGCCCUUGACUUUGGGAUAACUUCAGGAAACUGGGGCUAAUACCGGAUAGGAGCUCCUGCUGCAUGGUGGGGGUUGGAAAGUUUCGGCGGUUGGGGAUGGACUCGCGGCUUAUCAGCUUGUUGGUGGGGUAGUGGCUUACCAAGGCUUUGACGGGUAGCCGGCCUGAGAGGGUGACCGGCCACAUUGGGACUGAGAUACGGCCCAGACUCCUACGGGAGGCAGCAGUGGGGAAUAUUGCACAAUGGGCGGAAGCCUGAUGCAGCAACGCCGCGUGCGGGAUGACGGCCCUCGGGUUGUAAACCGCUUUCGCCUGUGACGAAGCGUGAGUGACGGUAAUGGGUAAAGAAGCACCGGCUAACUACGUGCCAGCCGCCGCCGUAAC